rnacentral:rRNA from 1 species
GGGCUCAACCUCGGGAUAGCAUUUGAAACUGGCAUACUAGAGUACUGUAGAGGGGGGUAGAACUUCAGGUGGAGCGGUGUAACGCGUAGAGAUCUGAAGGAAUACCAGUCCCGAAGGCCGCCCACGCGACAGAUACUGACACUCAGAUGCGAAAGCGUGGGGAGCAAACACGAUUAGAUACCCUGGUAGUCCACGCCGUAAACGAUGUCCACCUGGAGGUCGUGGCCCUGAGCCGUGGCUUUCGGAGCUAACGCGUUAAGUAGACCGCGUGGGGAGUACGGUCGCAAGAUUAAUACUCAAAUGAAUUGACGGGGGCCCGCACAAGCGGCGGAGCAUGUGGUUUAAUUCGAUGCCACGCGAAGAACCUUACCUACUCUUCACAUCCAGAGAACUUUCCAGAGAUGGAUUGGUGCCUUCGGGAACUCUGAGACAGGUGCUGCAUGGUCGUCGUCAGCUCGUGUUGUGAAAUGUUGGGUUAAGUCCCGCAACGAGCGCAACCCUUAUCUUUGUUUGCCAGCACUUUGGGUGGGAACUCCAGGGAGACUGCCGGUGAUAAACCGGAGGAAGGUGGGGGUGACGUCAAGUCAUCAUGGCCCUUACGAGUAGGGCUACACACGUGCCAUAAUGGCGCAUACAGAGGGCAGCCAACUUGCGAGAGUGAGCGAAUCCCAAAAAGUGAGUCGUAGUCGGGAUCGGAGUCUGCAACUCGACUCCGUGAAGUCGGAAUCGCUAGUAAUCGUGGAUCAGAAUGCCACGGUGAAUACGUUCCCGGGCCUUGUACACACCCCCCGUCACACCAUGGGAGUGGGCUGCAAAAGAAGUAGUUAGUUUAACCUUGGGAGGACGCUUUCCACUUUCUGGUUAAU